AUUGAACGCUGGCGGCAGGUCUAACACAUGCAAGUCGAACGGUAGCACAGAGAGCUUGCUCUCGGGUGACGAGUGGCGGACGGGUGAGUAACGUCUGGGAAACUGCCCGAUGGAGGGGGAUAACUACUGGAAACGGUAGCUAAUACCGCAUAACGUCGCAAGACCAAAGUGGGGGACCUUCGGGCCUCACACCAUCGGAUGUGCCCAGAUGGGAUUAGCUAGUAGGUGGGGUAAUGGCUCACCUAGGCGACGAUCCCUAGCUGGUCUGAGAGGAUGACAAGCCACACUGGAACUGAGAAACGGUCCAGACUCCUGCGGGAGGCAGCAGUGGGGAAUAUUGCACAAUGGGCGCAAGCCUGAUGCAGCCAUGCCGCGUGUAUGAAGAAGGGCUUCGGGUUGUAAAGUACUUUCAGCGGGGAGGAAGGCGGUGAAGUUAAUAGCUUCACCGAUUGACGUUACCCGCAGAAGAAGCACCGGCUAACUCCGUGCCAGCAGCCGCAGAAA
rnacentral:rRNA from 1 species